rnacentral:rRNA from 1 species
CUCCUACGGGAGGCAGCAGUGGGGAAUAUUGCACAAUGGGGGAAACCCUGAUGCAGCCAUGCCGCGUGUGUGAAGAAGGCCUUCGGGUUGUAAAGCACUUUCAGUAGGGAGGAAGGUAGUGUAGUUAACACCUGCAUUAUUUGACGUUACCUACAGAAGAAGCACCGGCUAACUCCGUGCCAGCAGCCGCGGUAAUACGGAGGGUGCGAGCGUUAAUCGGAAUUACUGGGCGUAAAGCGCAUGCAGGCGGCCUGUUAAGUCAGAUGUGAAAGCCCGGGGCUUAACCUCGGAAUUGCAUUUGAAACUGGCAGGCUAGAGUCUUGUAGAGGGGGGUAGAAUUUCAGGUGUAGCGGUGAAAUGCGUAGAGAUCUGAAGGAAUACCAGUGGCGAAGGCGGCCCCCUGGACAAAGACUGACGCUCAGAUGCGAAAGCGUGGGGAGCAAACAGGAUUAGAUACCCUGGUAGGAUAGCG